GGGUGAGUAACGCGUGGGUAACCUGCCUCACACAGGGGGAUAACAGUUAGAAAUGACUGCUAAUACCGCAUAAGCGCACGGUAUCGCAUGAUACAGUGUGAAAAGAUUUAUCGGUGUGAGAUGGACCCGCGUCUGAUUAGCCAGUUGGCAGGGUAACGGCCUACCAAAGCGACGAUCAGUAGCCGGCCUGAGAGGGUGAACGGCCACAUUGGGACUGAGACACGGCCCAAACUCCUACGGGAGGCAGCAGUGGGGGAUAUUGCACAAUGGGGGAAACCCUGAUGCAGCGACGCCGCGUGAGUGAUGAAGUAUUUCGGUAUGUAAAGCUCUAUCAGCAGGGAAGAAAAUGACGGUACCUGACUAAGAAGCCCCGGCUAACUACGUGCCAGCAGCCGCGGUAAUACGUAGGGGGCAAGCGUUAUCCGGAUUUACUGGGUGUAAAGGGAGCGUAGACGGCGAGUCAAGUCUGAUGUGAAAGGUGGGGGCUCAACCCCCAAACUGCAUUGGAAACUGGUUUGCUAGAGUGUCGGAGAGGUAAGUGGAAUUCCUAGUGUAGCGGUGAAAUGCGUAGAUAUUAGGAGGAACACCAGUGGCGAAGGCGGCUUACUGGACGAUCACUG
rnacentral:rRNA from 1 species